rnacentral:rRNA from 1 species
CCUGGUUGAUCCUGCCAGUAGUUAUAUGCUUGUCUCAAAUAUUAAGCCAUUCAUGUCUCAGUGCAUGCCGAAUUAAGGUGAAACCGCGAAUGGCUCAUUAAAUCAGUUAUGGUUCAUUAGAUUGUACCCACAUUUACUUGGUAACUGUGGUAAUUCUAGAGCUAAUACAUGCAAAACAGAGUCCCGACCAGUGAUGGGAGGGACGCUUUUAUUAGGUCAAAACAAUUCGGUGGCGGACGGUCUCUUGCCGCUUGUCUACCGUUCAUUUUGGUAACUUUGAAUAACUUUGAGCUGAUCGCACGGUCCUAGCACCGGCAACGCAUUUUUCAAAUGUCUGCCUUAUCAACUGUCAAUGGUAGGUUCUGCGCCUACCAUGGUUGUAACGGAUAACGAGGAAUCAGGGUUCGAUUCCGGAGAGGGAGCCUGAGAAACGGCUACCACAUCCAAGGAAGGCAGCAGGCGAGCAAAUUACUCACUCCCGGCACGGGGAGGUAGUGACAAAAAAUAACGAUACGGGACUCAUCUGAGGCCUCGUAAUCGGAAUGAGCACACUUUAAAUCCUUUAACGAGGAUCCAUUGGAGGGCAAGUCUGGUGCCAGCAGCCGCGGUAAUUCCAGCUCCAAUAGCGUAUAUUAAAAUUGAUGCGGUUAAAAAGCUCGUAGGUAAAUUUGUGUCGCACACCGUCGGUUCACCGUUUGCGAUGUCUAACUGGCGUGAUGUGAGACGUCUUACCGGUAGGCUCAGCCUCGAGAGGGGCGGCCCAACUAAUAUCCCGUUGCGGUGCUCUUUGCUGAGUGUCGAGUCGGGCCGGUACGUUUACUUUGAACAAAUUAGAGUGCUUAAAGCAGGCUAGCUUCGCUGAAUACUGUGUGCAUGGAAUAAUGGAAUAGGACCUCAGGUCUAUUUUGGUGGUUUUCGGAACCCGAGGUAAUGAUUAAUAGGGACAGAUGGGGGCAUUCGUAUUGCGACGUUAGAAGUGAAAUUCUUGGAUUGUCGCAAGACGGACAGAAGCNAAAGCAUUUGCCAAAAAUGUUUUCAUUACUCAAGAACGAAAGUUAGAGGUUCGAAGGCGAUCAGAUACCGCCCUAGUUCUAACCAUAAACGAUGCCAGCUAGCGAUCCGCCGAAGUUCCUCCGAUGACUCGGCGGGCAGCUUCCGGGAAACCAAAGCUUUUGGGUUCCGGGGGAAGUAUGGUUGCAAAGCUGAAACUUAAAGGAAUUGACGGAAGGGCACCACCAGGAAUGGAGCCUGCGGCCUAAUUUGACUCAACACGAGAAACCUCACCAGGCCCAGACACCGGAAGGAUUGACAGAUUGAUAGCUCUUUCUUGUUUUGGUGGGUGAUGAUGCAUGGCCGUUUUUAGUUGGUGGAGCGAUUUGUCUGGUUAAUUCCGAUAACGAAUGAGACUCUAGCCUGCUAUAUAGGCGUAUCUUAUGGUAUCGCGAAAGCCCCCGGUUUCGGCCGGCGGGUUUUUACUACCAACGUACAAAUUAAUCUUCUUAGAGGGACAGGCGGCUUCUAGCCGCACGAGAUUGAGCAAUAACAGGUCUAUGAUGCCCUUAGAUGUUCUGAGCCGCACGCGCGCUACACUGAAGGAAUCAGCGUGUGUUCUCUGACCGAAAGGCCCGAGUGCCCCGCUGAACCUUUUUUGUGUUAAGGAUUGGGGCUUGCAAUUGUUCCCCAUGAACGAGGAAUUUCCAGUAAGCGCGAGUUAUAAGCUCGGGUUGAUUACGUCUCUGCCCUUUGUACACACCGCCCGUCGCUACUACCAAUUAAAUGAUUUAGUAAGGUCUUUGGACUGGUGCGCGGCAAUGCUUUGGCAUUGCCGAUGUUGCCGGGAAGAUGACCAAACUUGCUCACUUAGAAGAAGUAAAAGUCGUAACAAGGUUUCCGUAUGUGAACUUGCGGAAG